rnacentral:rRNA from 1 species
GGAAUCUUCCACAAUGGACGCAAGUCUGAUGGAGCAACGCCGCGUGAGUGAAGAAGGGUUUCGGCUCGUAAAGCUCUGUUGUUAAAGAAGAACGUGGGUAAGAGUAACUGUUUACCCAGUGACGGUAUUUAACCAGAAAGCCACGGCUAACUACGUGCCAGCAG